rnacentral:tRNA from 1 species
CAGACAAGUAGUUUAAUAAAAAUAUUGGCAUUGGAAGCCAAAGAUUGGGACGAUCCUACUUUCUGA